GCCGGGGCCUGCUGAGGGCUGGGCAGCGGGGGUCUGACAGGGCCUCCGCCGGCCCGGUGCGCCCCUUGCCCGCUGGCCCGCCCGCGUGUGGCUUGGUGUGGGGCUCAUGGCCGGCCCCGGGCCUGGCGGGGAGCACUGGCAGCGGCUGGGGGUGAGGUGGGCCCUGCUUGGGAUCACCCCCUCUCCCCAUCAGGGCACCCCGCUGCCCCGCGUCCCUGGGCCACCGCACUGGUAUGGCAUGGACGAGCAGAGGAGCAGAAGUUGUGGAAAAUUCAUCUGUACAAAUCCUUUGCUGUGGAAAGGGUGGUAUGGAAGGGAGAAGCAGGAGUUUUCCUGUUGGUAACUGGACACAGGAACAAUGUAUCACUGGUUUGUGAAGACAGCAUAUUGCCAUCAGGCCCAAUAAACUACCACCAUCAAACUGGAGGAUUCUUCCA
rnacentral:lncRNA from 1 species